GGGGAUGUGGCUCAGUGGCAGAGUGCUUGCCCAGCAUGGACAAGAGGACCCUGGGUUCAAUCCCCAGUUUCGCCA
rnacentral:tRNA from 1 species